GAUGAAAACACAUUAACCUACCGGUGAAGCACGAUUUAUAGGAAUCGAACAGAAUUGAUGGAAAGGAUCCUGGAGGAACGUAUUCUAUUCUGAAUAGAACUGACAAAUUGUCGAAUGCCGUUCGACAAUUGAUACAAGCUGAAUCGCCGUGAAAGAGCUAAUUGCUAGUCAUUGAAUUCCAAAAUAAUGGGCAUUCGUCGAUCAUCACGAAACGACGAAUUCAUUACAUAAUUAUCAAUGAGUUAUUUGUGUUCAG
rnacentral:misc_RNA from 1 species